GGCGGGCGAGAUCCACAGCAGGUGCAGCGGCGUCCCCAGAGCGCUGCGCCCUCCCGGACAAGCCUCUCGGCGACCCGCGCCCCGGCGGGCAGAUAUCCGAGCGCGGCGGAGCCGCCCCCCGCGUCAGCGUCCGCAGAUUGGCGGAGCCGCAGCCCCGCGAGUCACUGCCGGCCCGGCCGACUCCGCUCCCUUUCUCCUUCCUCCUCCCCUCGGCCGCGCCCCGCGAUGCCUGUGCAGCUCCGGGCCCGUUACGGAGAGGGCGCCUUCCUUCCGCGGUUUGCCGAGAGGAGCCGGAGACGCCCGAGAGAGGGCGGCGGGAGCGCGCGGGGUCGGCGCUCGGGGCUCCCGCGGCCGCAGAGGAUUGCCGCCCCGCGGACGCUGUCCCGGUGGGCUCUCCGGCCAGGCCGCCGCGCCCAGGGCUUCUGCCCGCCCGCCCGGGGCCUGCUGCGGCCUCGGUCCCGCCGAGCCGAGGACCAGAAGCCCAGGCCACGUAUCUCCCCGAAGCCUCUGGGCGUCUGCACGACCAAACCGCGACCUUGUGCCCCACCCCCUCGCCGCGGGAGAUGGGGCGGAGGAGGGGACGGAGGGGCCACCAUCGGAGAGACACUACGAGAGGAGCCAGGAGCGCGGUAUUUGAUCCACAUCCAGAGCGGGCCCUAGAACGGCGGCCAGGCUCCAGCAGCCGGCCGGGCCCCACCCUACCCAAGGGGACCCCACCGGCGGCCUAACUCUGGCCAGGCCGGCGCCCGGAGCUAGGACUCGCUGGGCAGGGAGAGGGGCCGGCACGUGGUGAGACUGUGUGUGUGUGUCACUUUCUCCCAGAAGCCCAGAGUCAGCCACCCACCCCCAGGGGCGCGUUACUUCCCCGUCCUGGCCUCUGCUGGGCCCGCACAGCCUGGAGACUGGCAGCCCCAGCAGGGGCUGUGAACGUGCACUCAGCCCAGGGCCAGCGUGAGGAAGGGUUGGGGGCCUGCAGGGACUGUGGACAGAGGGGGCCUGUCCAGUGGAUGAGGGCAGCCUCCUCCCUGAGCCGCCAGCACGGACCCCCGAGCAGUAAAUACGUAAAAUAAAACAAAACAAAAAGAAUUCCGAAGGCAGUAUUAGCCUGCUCACUGAGGGCGUCCAUACACAUAGACACCAAUGCAGACACACAGUAUAUGAAAUCUACAGUCUGCUCACUGGACGUAAUGCAGUUUAACAAAAUACAAGCUAAGCCUUUAAAAUAGUUCUCUCCAGGAAUUAACACCACAAAUAAAAACACUCAUAUACAAUUUGUGAGUUUUGAAGGAAACCAUGGAUGACUGAAAAAUGAGCACAGACAGUAACAGCGCCCGUCAGAACCUGGGAAACGCCACCCGCCGAGGAUGUGCUGGGGGACACGUGGAGUGACCGCCAGCCUUCAUCACGGGAGGACCGUGACUGACAGCGGGAGACCUCGGCUGUCGGCUGGAGGAACUGGGAAAAGAGCAGGCAGCCCAGGUAAAGAAGACGUGGGUUCGUGCAGAACAGACCGAAAACACAGGCAGCCGGAAACAGAACGUGGCCGAACUGAUGGAGCCAGGACGCUUCCCAGAAAAGACCAGCACAGGAGGCAGCGUGGAGGCCUGACGGAGGAGGGGAGAUGAAGACAGCGCUGUGCCUGGAUCGGCUCCCAGCUUCACCAGGGCGGAGACGGGAAUGGAGGUGAAAAGACAGCAUCCCUGGUGCACAGUGGGAGACGCUCAGCAGAAUCCUGGUCACCCGACCACAGAGAUGAAGACACCGGACGUCAGGGCCCAAAGUAACCAGACCAGGAAAACCACUGGCAUUUGCAGACCUAAGCAGUCAGCUCCGCCCGUGACCCCUCACCCCAACCCUCAAUCUCUGUCGUAAAUUCCCUCAUGACAGUCACCAGGGGGUUCGGAUGUGGGGCGCUGUUGUCCUCUCUUGGUGCCGCUGAAACUGCUUCCACUUCUCUUCUGCAAAACGUGGCGCCCAGUGUGCAGCCCUGCUUCACGGUGAUUGGACGAAACCCAGUAGGUUCUGUGGCACUGUCCCUCCCGGGGAACCCCACCCUGGCGGUGGGCCUGGACCCUGGCCCGGCACAUGGCUCCCACCUGCAGGGGGAUGGGUGCAGCGCAGGGGAGCUGGUGUGUGUGGGGGUGUUGCACCUGGACACGGGCAGUGCUGGCCGAGCACCCAGGGCUGGCUCCCCACCCCCACCCCGCACAGCCGGUGAGGAACGCCCGGCAAACACCGUGCGGACCUAUCAGGUCGAAACACUGUCCCAGCUGGGGAAAAAAAAAGGCAGAAACUUCCUCUGUAGGCCAAGGGUAAACCCGCUAAGGACAAAGGCAGCGGGAUGAUCAUUUAUCACCAGGAGCCAGAGAGGACGCUGGGAGGCCCGCGCCGUCCCCGGGACUCAAGGUCAGAAGCUUCUUCUUUCCCUCAUUAUUUCUAUUUUUAACAACGGUGUUCAGGCCUUUUGCAAAAAUAGCGAGAGGUGAGAACAUUUCAGGCACGAACAUGCCCCCCUUUGUCAGAAAACUGCAGGGACGGAGGGAAACCGGCCAGGACGUGGCCGCCUGGCUGUGAAUGCCCCUCCCCUGGAGCUGAGGGACCCCUGGCGGCUCCCAGACCCGUCUGCCUGCCACACAACUGGGUAAACGGAGGGCAGCCAGGCAGGCACGUGCCCGAGGUCAUUUAGGGAGUGAGGCCCCCGAGUCCCUCCUCCUGACCCUCCUCAGGAGGCUGCCCACGGUGGAGCGGCCAGGAGAGUCCGUUUUGCCCUGGCCUCUGCUGUGAGUGGGGCUCAGAGGUGAGGAGGGCGCCAGCCCCUGGGAGCUUCCUGUUAGGGUCUACCAGGAUUGAAGAAGAAAAGACCAGUGAUGUUUACAUUCUCCUUAAAUGAUGAUGGAGAAACUCAUGACCGAGAAACGAGGUUUGCGGGGGAUGGAAAAUGAGUCGUAUACAUAGAAACAUGUUCAGUUUCUCAUCAGUUGGGCUUCAAGAGAAGCCAGGGCCUGGUCCCUUCCUCCCUCUGUCCUGGCCGGUUCCGAACCAGCCUGGAGGCCCAAGAGCAGUCAUUCCCUUCACUCCGAGGCCCCUGCAGCAGGCGGCGGGUGAAGCCCCGGCAUCAAGGAGACCCGGAAAUGCAGGCACUGUUCACGAUGCCGGAAUCAGCACAGAGAGUCUUGGCACGUCGGUGGGAUUCCCACCCGCCCAGGGUGGCCUCCGCCCUCUCCGGGACGCGGUGCGCUGGCCUGGGACCCUGCUGGGACCGCAGGACAGAAACCCCCCUGCUCCCUGGGCGUCAGCACAGAGGCCGGGUGACUCAGUGGCCACGUUCUGUGUGUUUCUCACAAAGUGUCCGUGUGUGGAGCUCACAGGCAGGGCCUUCCCGGAGGCGGGGCAGCUGAAGCCCAUUCGCCCCCUGAAAUGCUCCUCCCCUUUUUUGCAGCAUCGAACUGUUUUAGGAAUGAUGCCUUUUACUCUCUCUUCCUUUAAAUGCAAGGACCCGGACAUAAAAGUGAAUAAAACAUAAAGACAGAGCCGCUGUGGGAGUGGUGAGGGGUGGGGGGCCGCAUUCCCCCAGGCCUUUCUUCCCGCCCAAUCUUGGGCCCGGUCGGUCUAAGAGCCAGGAGAGACCCUGGGCCUGUGCCUGGGGACACCCAGCCCUUUGGCAGACUCUGAUCUGCGAGGCGGCGGAGCUCACCAUUACAAAGAGGAGAGUCUGUGGCUGCCAGACCGCGUGGGGCCAGGAGCCCCACCCACGGCCUCGGCUGCCUCCGGCCAGCACAGUCGGGACUUGGUCCAUGGCUGCAAGGGUCUCCUGAGUUGUUGGCCCCAUGACUUCAGCUUGGGAUUCACCAGAGAGAGUGAAGCGUGCCCCUCCCACCCAUCCCAUGGAAAGGCAACCCCCUCCGCCCCCUGGCCUCCUGGAGCCCCGUCCCCUGGGUGCUCUCCCUCUCCUGCACCCUUGCCUGGCACAGACCGGGACAGGUGGCCACGUCUCGGGGAGUGAGAGGUUUACGGACAUGGGGGCGUUACCUGAGACGCCCUUCUUUUCACAUGCCCUGACCCAGUGGCUCCUUUCUAAGCUCCAGGAAGGGGCUCCAGGA